GUACUUUAUUCUAAGAAAAUGACCGUGCACUGAGGUACUUACCGUUCUGCUGUGAACUAGCCCCAGCUCUGCACUUGACAAAUCUCGGUUCAAUUGUGACGGCUGGAAACGUGGACUACUCCCUUUCGGAGAGAGAAUGCGUGGCUAGCCCUGACGUUUGACCGCUCGUGAAGCUGGUCACGAGGGACGGAAGGACUUGUGUGGUGGAGGCAUGCUGGGGGUCUCCGUGGCCAACAAUGAACUCCUCAAACUGCCUGUGACACUAAGAGAGUCUCCUACUGGCCUAGAACUCUUCGAGCUGAGGCCAACUGACCAGCAAGACCCUGGGGUCUGCCUAUCUCCACCUCUCCAAUCUGGGGAUCCUUGAGCACUUCAGUGGGUGAGCAUCUCCCCAGCCUGUGGAUCCUGAGACCCUAACUUCUUCGGUGGAUUACCUCUUGGUGGACUUACGACUUGAUGCCAAACUUUGGUCACAACAGUGUGUGAGUAUGUGUGUGUGUGUGUGUGUGUGUGUGUGUGAGAGAGAGAGA